rnacentral:rRNA from 1 species
AGAGUUUGAUCCUGGCUCAGAUUGAACGCUGGCGGAAUGCUUUACACAUGCAAGUCGAACGGCAGCACGGGGGCAACCCUGGUGGCGAGUGGCGAACGGGUGAGUAAUACAUCGGAACGUGCCCAGUCGUGGGGGAUAACGUAGCGAAAGUUACGCUAAUACCGCAUACGAACUCUGGUUGAAAGCGGGGGAUCGCAAGACCUCGCGCGAUUGGAGCGGCCGAUGGCAGAUUAGGUAGUUGGUGGGGUAAAGGCUCACCAAGCCGACGAUCUGUAGCUGGUCUGAGAGGACGACCAGCCACACUGGGACUGAGACACGGCCCAGACUCCUACGGGAGGCAGCAGUGGGGAAUUUUGGACAAUGGGCGCAAGCCUGAUCCAGCCAUUCCGCGUGCAGGAUGAAGGCCCUCGGGUUGUAAACUGCUUUUGUACGGAACGAAAAGGCCUGGGUUAAUACCUCGGGCUCAUGACGGUACC